AUAUUCUACUCCUAGAACAUAAUGCUAGAAAUUAGAGAUGAUAAUGUUGGU
rnacentral:guide_RNA from 1 species